rnacentral:rRNA from 1 species
AGUGAACGCUGGCGGUAGGCCUAACACAUGCAAGUCGAACGGCAGCACAGGAGAGCUUGCUCUCUGGGUGGCGAGUGGCGGACGGGUGAGGAAUACAUCGGAAUCUACUUUUUCGUGGGGGAUAACGUAGGGAAACUUACGCUAAUACCGCAUACGACCUACGGGUGAAAGCAGGGGAUCUUCGGACCUUGCGCGAUUGAAUGAGCCGAUGCCGGAUUAGCUAGUUGGCGGGGUAAAGGCCCACCAAGGCGACGAUCCGUAGCUGGUCUGAGAAGAUGAUCAGCCAAACUGGAACUGAGACACGGUCCAGACUCCUACGGGAGGCAGCAGUGGGGAAUAUUGGACAAUGGGCGCAAGCCUGAUCCAGCCAUACCGCGUGGGUGAAGAAGGCCUUCGGGUUGUAAAGCCCUUUUGUUGGGAAAGAAAUCCAGCUGGUUAAUACCCGGUUGGGAUGACGGUACCCAAAGAAUAAGCACCGGCUAACUUCGUGCCAGCCGCCGCGGUAA